UCCCGCGAACCAUCGAGUCUUUGAACGCAAGUUGCGCCUGAGGCCACUUGGCCGAGGGCACGCCUGCUUGGGCGUCACGUCAAACACGCUCCCACCACUCAUCGGGAAGUGGGACGCGGCAUGUGGCCCCCCGUUUCGCAAGGUACGGUGGGCCUAAGAUGUGGCUGCCGGCCUAUCGUGCCGGACACAGCGCGUGGUGGGCGAUCUCGCUUUACUUACCGCAGUGCAUACGGACCGUAGCCGAUGUUAUGGCCUUAAGGACCCAAAGAACGGAGCACUUGAUGCUUCGACCGCGACCCCAAGUCAGGCGGGACUACCCGCUGAGUUUAAGCAUAUAAAUAAGCGGAGGAGAAGAAACUUACAAGGAUUCCCCUAGUAACGGCGAGCGAACCGGGAUCAGCCCAGCUUGAGAAUCGGGCGGCCUUGCUGUCC
rnacentral:rRNA from 1 species